ACGAGUGGUGCAAGCGUUAUUCGGAAUCAUUGGGCGUACAGGGCGUGUAGGUGGUAUGUUAAGUCUGUUGUUAAAGACUCUAGCCUAACUGGAGAAAGGCAAUGGAAACUGGUGUACUAGAGGGUGGAAGAGAGAAGUGGAAUUCUCGGUGUAGCGGUAAAAUGCGUAGAUAUCGGGAGGAACACCCAUGGCGAAAGCAGCUUCUUUGGCCAUAACUUACACUUAGGCGGGAAAGCGUUGGGAGCAAACAG
rnacentral:rRNA from 1 species